rnacentral:misc_RNA from 1 species
GUGAAUCAUCGAAUUUUUGAACGCAAAUUGCGCUUCCUGGCAUCCCGGGGAGUAUGCGUGUGUGAGGGUCAGUAUUAACAAAAGAGCUGUUUGGUUGCAAAGUGUGGCGGUUCCGGAGUUUUGGCUAUCUUAACCUUUUUGGGUAAGGUACUUUAAAUUGACCUUAUUUACUCAUGUUGAGACGUACAUAAAUUUUUUUUUUGUUCGUCUAUUCUUAAUGCCAAAAUCUUGUUAUGUGCGUUCACAG